CCUAAUGACGCACUGACGUCAAUGCAGGUCAAUAGCACACACUGCUGGAACUGGGCGUGCUACACCAAGCCAGAGCUGGAGCCUUUUCAAACAGCCCCAACUCUGCAAAUAUCCCAGCUUUGCGGGGAGGGGUGGGGGAAGCCAGGGUCUGGUAGGCACUGAGACCCCCCCAUCCCCCUCCAGCACCUUCAAAAUUGAUGCAUGUUUUCCUGAUGCCAAAAAAGAAAAAAAGGAAAAAGAAAAUCCAAACAGAUAUCAUCAGACGCACUGCAGUGCAAAAAAAAAAAAAAAAAAAAAAAAAAAAAAAAAAAAAAAAAAUUUAAAUCAUACCUGUCAAAGGAACCGUAUGUAAUCCGCGCACACAUUUACGCUCAGAAUGCAAUGCAUAUCAUUAGGGUCUGUCUAUAAAUAGACCCUGAGAAUGUGUGCAUCGGGAUUUAGUCCCCAAACGGGGUUUUCGAACGUGGGUGAUGAGUUCUUUGCUCUGAUCAGUUACUCAGGAGGUGCCUGAAUGUGUGGGGGUGGGAGCGUGGGAGGGGGGCUGCCUCCUCUCCCUCCUCCUUUCCUCUGGCUCGCCCCCUCCUUUCUUCUCUUUCUCUCCCCCCCUCCGCUUACCUCCCCUCUUUUCUCCCUCUCUCUCUCUCUCAUUUCCUCUCUUUCUCUUCUUCUCCGUCUCUCCUCCAGUCUCCCCCACCCUCUUUUCUUACUCUCCCCCUCCCUCUCUCCUCUCCUCCCCCUCCCUCUCUCCUCUCCUUCUCCCUCCAAGUCUGGCACUGAACGCGAACUGUUUUGCUUUGCUCCGGGAAGAGUGCAGACACAGAACGUGAAAUCCCGAGCUUUUUUGCGUGGUGCAUUUAAAACGCUUCCUUAUUUAUAUUACCCUCAUUCCCUCACCUCUCCCACCCCCUCACCAGUCCUUCCAAAUUUCCCUAGAAAUCUCUGUAAAGCGUGCGGAGGGGAAAAAAGUGAAGGAGCUCGCCAAGUCCAGAAGGCAAUUACUUCCAUGGCAAUGCUUGUCCAAUCUGUGGUCUCUGAAGCCCAGACUGAAAAAAGCAGAGUAACUAUCACAGUGACUAAGAAGAAUUUCCAUUACAGAGGUGAGGCCUUUUUAAUUUGGGGAACAUGUUCACACCUAUGUUUUUAA
rnacentral:lncRNA from 1 species